rnacentral:tmRNA from 1 species
GGGGGCGACGGGUUUCGACGGGAUUCGUGAACUUUUGGUCGCACGUCGAGGGUUCUACUGGCCUCGUAAAAAAGUAGAAAAAUGUUAUUCGGCAACGAAUACGCAAUGGCAGCUUAAUUAUAAGCUCCCGUCUGAUCAGGGACUCCUGCUUACUGUAAAGACGUUAAAAAGCAGGAUGGCGGGUUUAAGUGUCUGAGUAAAACUCCCGCGAGACUAUACUUCAGGCUCGUCAAAGAGGAUCCUGCCCAAAGGAGCCUUGGAGAUUAAACUAAAAAUAUGGGCUAAACGUGUAGUGCCCUUUAGGAAUCGACUUUCGGACGGGGGUUCAACUCCCCCCGCCUCCACCA